AUUAUAUGAUGCUUGAAAACUUGGAUUCAACACUUUAAAAUUAAGACUUUUGUAGAAACAAGAUUUUAUAACACACAUUGCUGCUAAUGCAUGUAACCUCCACCUGCCGCUCACAAAUCCACAUUCAAAUAAUUCAGUAUGAUUAGUGAGUAUA